rnacentral:miRNA from 14 species
UGUGUGUGUGUGUGUGUGUGUGUGUGUGUGUGUGUGUUUUGUGUGUGUUAACAAUGAAAGUAAUACUCUCAACAAGUUUGGUGAAAAUCCGUCCAUGUGUUUUUGAGAUAUUUUGUGAACACACACACACACACACACACACACACACACC